rnacentral:rRNA from 1 species
UAUGACUUGAAAAAGAUCUCGUACUUACACCUGAGGGCCAGUCAGGUCGGACCCCCUCGCCGCAAGCCCUGGUUCGGCUGGUCCUUUCUUUCUUGGGAAUCGCGUGACAUGGUCUGGCUGUUGCGGGUAACCAGGACUUUUACUGUGAAAUAAAUAAAGUGUUCAAGGGCGGCCUUUGCUCUGAUCCAUUAGUGUGGAAUAAGAAAAAAGGAGGGGCGGUUCUUUUUUGUUGGUUUCUAGGACCGCCGUAAUGAUUAAUAGGGAUAGUCGGGGGCGUCUCUUUUCAGAUGUGAAAGGUGAAAUUCUUGGAUUUGCUGACAACUAGCUACUGCCAAAGCAUUCGCCAAGGAUGUUUUCAUUAAUCAGGGAACGAAAGUUAGGGGAUAGAAGACGAACAGAUUCCGUCCUACUCUUAACCACAAACUAUGCCAACGAGGGAUCGGGAGGGGAUUCUAUGAUGACCCGCUCGGCACCUUACGAGAAAUCCUAGUUUUUGGGUUCUGGGAGGAGCUAUCGCCGCGAGGCUGAAACUUAAAGACAUUGACGGACGGCCACCACGAGGCGUGCAGUCUGCUGCUUACUUUGACUCAACACUGUCAGACUCACCAGGUACAGACAAGGUAAUGAUUGACAGAUCGAGAGCUCUUUCUUGAUCUUGUGUAUGGUGGUGCAUGGACGUUCUUAGUUGGGGGAGUGGUUUCUCUGGUUAAAUGCAAUAACAAAACAACACCUCAGCUCUUAAAUACCCUCUGUCUGUCGUAGGCGGCAGCUGACAUCUUUAGGGGACUAUCUGCUUCAGCCGAGUGGAAGUACGUGCAGAAUAGGCUGUGAUGACGCUUAGAGAUCUGCGCGCAACCGCACAUAGAG